rnacentral:pre_miRNA from 13 species
CUCUUCCUGUCACUGCAGACAGUCAGUAGUUGGUCUGGCGUGAGCAGGAAUUCUCAGAUCACCUCUUGGCUGUGAGUGGUGGAGAGAG